rnacentral:rRNA from 1 species
ACGUACACUCCUACGGGAGGCAGCAGUGGGGAAUAUUGGACAAUGGGCGCAAGCCUGAUCCAGCCAUGCCGCGUGAGUGAUGAAGGCCCUAGGGUUGUAAAGCUCUUUCACCGGAGAAGAUAAUGACGGUAUCCGGAGAAGAAGCCCCGGCUAACUUCGUGCCAGCAGCCGCGGUAAUACGAAGGGGGCUAGCGUUGUUCGGAAUUACUGGGCGUAAAGCGCACGUAGGCGGAUCGAUCAGUCAGGGGUGAAAUCCCAGGGCUCAACCCUGGAACUGCCUUUGAUACUGUCGAUCUGGAGUAUGGAAGAGGUGAGUGGAAUUCCGAGUGUAGAGGUGAAAUUCGUAGAUAUUCGGAGGAACACCAGUGGCGAAGGCGGCUCACUGGUCCAUUACUGACGCUGAGGUGCGAAAGCGUGGGGAGCAAACAGGAUUAGAUACCCCAGUAGUCCCAUG